GACGUAGGGGGCCAGCGUUGUUCGGAAUUACUGGGUGUAAAGGGUUCGUAGGCGGUGUGGCAAGUCGGGAGUGAAGUCUCUGGGCUCAACCCAGAGUCUGCUUCCGAAACUGCUGUGCUUGAGUGUGGGAGAGGCGCGUGGAAUUGCAGGUGUAGCGGUGAAAUGCGUAGAUAUCUGCAGGAACACCCGUGGCGAAAGCGGCGCGCUGGACCACUACUGACGCUGAGGAGCGAAAGCGUGGGGAGCGAACAGG
rnacentral:rRNA from 1 species